CCUACGGGGGGCAGCAGUGGGGGAUAUUGCACAAUGGGGGAAACCCUGAUGCAGCGACGCCGCGUGAGUGAAGAAGUAUUUCGGUAUGUAAAGCUCUAUCAGCAGGGAAGAAAAUGACAGUACCUGACCAAGAAGCCCCGGCUAACUACGUGCCAGCAGCCGCGGUAAUACGUAGGGGGCAAGCGUUAUCCGGAUUUACUGGGGGUAAAGGGAGCGUAGACGGUUAUGUAAGUCUGGAGUGAAAUCCCGGGGCUUAACCCCGGAACUGCUUUCAAAACUGCUGGUCUUGAGUGAUGGAGAGGCAGGCGGAAUUCCGGGUGUAGCGGUGAAAUGCGUAGAUAUACGGAGGAACACCAGUGGCGAAGGCGGCCUGCUGGACAUUAACUGACGCUGAGGAGCGAAAGCGUGGGGAGCAAACAGGAUUAGAUACCCCUGUAGUC
rnacentral:rRNA from 1 species